GGUAAUGCACCCUCGACCUCACAAACGCCGCAGCACUUGGAAUCCAGCAAUGCACCUGGACCAAGUAGACCUGCCGUCUCCACUGGGAUACCAUACUGCUCGGAUGGUUACCAAGGAAGGCUUCAGAUUUCCAAAGAGGAAUUGGAAAAUGUUCUUUCCCUGAAAACAUCUUUUACUGAAGCUGCAUCUAUCCUU